rnacentral:rRNA from 1 species
AUUGAACGCUGGCGGCAGGCCUAACACAUGCAAGUCGAACGGUAACAGGAAACAGCUUGCUGUUUCGCUGACGAGUGGCGGACGGGUGAGUAAUGUCUGGGAAACUGCCUGAUGGAGGGGGAUAACUACUGAAAACGGUAGCUAAUACCGCAUAACGUCGCAAGACCAAAGAGGGGGACCUUCGGGCCUCUUGCCAUCGGAUGUGCCCAGAUGGGAUUAGCUAGUAGGUGGGGUAACGGCUCACCUAGGCGACGAUCCCUAGCUGGUCUGAGAGGAUGACCAGCCACACUGGAACUGAGACACGGUCCAGACUCCUACGGGAGGCAGCAGUGGGGAAUAUUGCACAAUGGGCGCAAGCCUGAUGCAGCCAUGCCGCGUGUAUGAAGAAGGCCUUCGGGUUGUAAAGUACUUUCAGCGGGGAGGAAGGGAGUAAAGUUAAUACCUUGGCUCAUUGACGUUACCCGCAGAAGAAGCACCGGCUAACUCCGUG